rnacentral:ribozyme from 1 species
AAAUUGCAAGAGAGAAAAAAAGUGAAUGAACGAGAAUUGGAGUUGCGUUCAUGCAAAUAUACAAAUCAAAUACCUCUCGCGUUUUCUGUUUUUUCUGUUUUUGCUUCUUUUUUUUUCUUCUCUUUC